GCGACUUCGUGGCAUCAAAAACGCUCUCAACGUUUUCGACUUUACCGGUUCGAAACGGUGUUUACGUGUCCCGCGUUAUUGCAUUUCGCGUCACAUUUUCGGUCAUAGAACAAUUUUCGUGUAGAAUGAGUGCGGGAAAAAAGUGUUCGUGUGUUGUGUCAAAGUGAGAACUUUAGGUUUUUCCAUUCGCGAAGUCCACCGGUUCGUCACAUCUGAGAGACUGCAUGGCCUGAGGACUCCACAGAGGAAGCGAGAGCCGAGCGUCGCGAUGGGGUGAAAAGGUGCGGCAGCCGACGUCGGACGCGGCCGAUAUACUCCCCCGGGGGCUAUUUAACAGCGCGGCCGAGGAACAGGGGAUAAAGAUCGACGAUAGCUGCACCGGUAUCACGCACACGAACACAAACCCAGAAAGAGGCGGUCACACAGGCAGCAGAGUCGCUGCUGUGGACGAUUAUCUUGAAUAGAAACGACGAAACCCUAUUAUAAGUCUGAUACAUUGAUGUUAUUUGUAUGAUACUGUGAUGAAUAUUGAUUUCAAGAUAAUUAUUGAAACAAGAUGUACGAUCACAGG
rnacentral:lncRNA from 1 species